rnacentral:tRNA from 1 species
GGCCGGUUAGCUCAGUGGUUUGAGCGCGGUGCUGACAACAAUGAGAACACUGAGGUUGCGGGUUUGAUUCCCGCUUGGUCCC